ensembl:lncRNA
CUGUUGAAUUAGUAUAUUAAGAAUAAUAAUAAUUUUUUUUUAAAAAUUACACUUAUUAUCUAGAAGGCACUUUCCUCACAAUAGCCCCAUAGCUAGUGUAACACUAUAACAUGAUAUAACACUAUAACAUAACAGAUAACAUGAAGAACAGACUCUUUCUUUCUUUCUCUCUCUCUUUCCUUCUUUUCUUCUCUCUCUCUCUCUUCCUUUCCUGCUUUCUUUCUUUCUUUCUUUCUUUCUUUCUUUCUUUCUUUCUUUCUUUCUUUCUUUCUUUCUUUCUUUCUUUCUUUCUUUCUUUCUUUCUUUCUUUCUUUCUUUCUUCCUUCCUUCCUUCCCUUCAUUCUUUCUUCCUUCCUUCCCUUCUUUUCUUUCUUUCUUUCUUUCUUCCUUCCUUCCUUCCUUCCUUCCUUCUUUCUUUCUUUCUUUCUUCCUUCCUUCCUUCCUUCCUUCCUUCCCUUCUUUCUUCCUUCCUUCCUUCCUUCCCUUCUUUCUUUCCUCCUUCCUUCCUUCCUUCUUUCUUUCUUUCCUCCUUCCUUCCUUCCUUCCUUCCUUCUUUCUUUCUUCCUUCUUUCCUUCCUUCCU